AACUUCUUCAUCCUAACUCCGAUGAGAUUUAUUCAACUUCCUGGUGAUUCUCCACUAUUUUAUGUAUCGAAAUCAAGCUUCUUACAUCACGAUUCAUCCUGGUUUGUUUAGAAUGACAAAGAAGUUGUUAUAUUCCCAAACAUGAAAACUAGGGAUCACCUGAAUUUAAAGUGGGAAAGCUUCUUCAUCCUAACUCCUAUGAGAUUUAUUCAACUUCCUGGUGGUUCUCCACUACUUUAUGUAUCAAAAUCAAGCUUCGUACAUCGCGAUUCAUCCUGGUUUG
rnacentral:lncRNA from 1 species